rnacentral:rRNA from 1 species
CUGCUAUCGGAUUGAUACUAAGCCAUGCGAGUCUUUGUAGUAAUACAAGGCAGACGGCUCAGUAACACGUAGUCAACCUACCCUAUGGACGAGAAUAAUCUCGGGAAACUGAGCAUAAUUCUCGGUAGAUCAUAAUGCCUGGAAUGGUUUAUGGUUAAAAUGAUUCUUCGCCAUAGGAUGGGACUGCGGCCUAUCAGCUUGUUGGUGAGGUAAUGGCCCACCAAGGCGAUUACAGGUGCGGGCUCUGAGAGGAGAAGCCCGGAGAUGGGUACUGAGACACGGACCCAGGCCCUAUGGGGCGCAGCAGGCGAGAAAACUUUGCAAUGUGCGAAAGCACGACAAGGUUAAUCCGAGUGAUUUCUGCUAAAGAAAUCUUUUGCCAGUCGUAAAACCGCUGGUGAAUAAGGGGUGGGCAAGUUCUGGUGUCAGCCGCCGCGGUAAAACCAGCACCUCAAGUGGUCAGGGUGAUUAUUGGGCCUAAAGCAUCCGUAGCCGGCUUUGUAAGUUUUCGGUUAAAUCCAUGUGCUCAACGCAUGGGCUGCCGAAAAUACUGCAUAGCUAGGGAGUGGGAGAGGUAGACGGUACUCAGUAGGUAGGGGUAAAAUCCUUUGAUCUAUUGAUGACCACCUGUGGCGAAGGCGGUCUACCAGAACACGUUCGACGGUGAGGGAUGAAAGCUGGGGGAGCAAACCGGAUUAGAUACCCGGGUAGUCCCAGCUGUAAACGAUGCAGACUAGAUGAUGCAUUGGCAUAAUAGCCAUUGCAGUGUCUCAGGGAAGCCGUUAAGUCUGCCGCCUGGGAAGUACGUACGCAAGUAUGAAACUUAAAGGAAUUGGCGGGG